UCUCUUACAGGCAAUCGGUAAAUUGAUCUCCCUGUGCGAAAGCAGGGAUGCACACAUAAGACGAGAAGGCCCUGUGGAACUUCAAAAACAGCGACCACCCCCAAAAUACAUCUACCCCCACCCCGGGCUCACUUAUCCCACGGGCUACUGGUUCGCAUUUUUUCGGUUGGGGCGACCUUGGAGCAAAACAGAACCUCCAAAAAUUAGACCAAACCUCUAGACUGAGAGCAACACCUCUACGUGCUAAUAGCACCCAGACCCAAUAUAAUUGAUCAAUGGACCAAGCUACCCCAGGGAUAACAGCGCAAUCUCCUCCAAGAGUCCAUAUCGACGAGGAGGUUUACGACCUCGAUGUUGGAUCAGGACAUCCUAGUGGCUG
rnacentral:rRNA from 1 species